GAUGAACGCUGGCGGCGUGCCUAAUACAUGCAAGUCGAGCGAACAGAUAAGGAGCUUGCUCCUUUGACGUUAGCGGCGGACGGGUGAGUAACACGUGGGUAACCUACCUAUAAGACUGGAAUAACUCCGGGAAACCGGGGCUAAUGCCGGAUAACAUGUUGAACCGCAUGGUUCUAUAGUGAAAGACGGCUUUGCUGUCACUUAUAGAUGGAUCCGCGCCGCAUUAGCUAGUUGGUAAGGUAACGGCUUACCAAGGCAACGAUGCGUAGCCGACCUGAGAGGGUGAUCGGCCACACUGGAACUGAGACACGGUCCAGACUCCUACGGGAGGCAGCAGUAGGGAAUCUUCCGCAAUGGGCGAAAGCCUGACGGAGCAACGCCGCGUGAGUGAUGAAGGUCUUCGGAUCGUAAAACUCUGUUAUUAGGGAAGAACAAAUGCGUAAGUAACUGUGCGCGUCUUGACGGUACCUAAUCAGAAAGCCACGGCUAACUACGUG
rnacentral:rRNA from 1 species